rnacentral:rRNA from 1 species
CGUCUAUAUACGUAUAGCAUAUCAAUAAGCGGAGGAAAAGAAACUAACAAGGAUUCCCCUAGUAACGGCGAGUGAAGCGGGAAGAGCUCUAAUUUGAAAUCUUCAAGGUUUUACCUUGACGAAUUGUAGUUUAAAGAAGUGUUUUCUGUUGAAGUUUUGGUAAAAGUUCUUUGGAAUAGGACAUCAUAGAGGGUGAGAAUCCCGUAUUUGACCAUUAUUUUCAGCUGUGUGAUACACUUUCAAAGAGUCGGAUUGUUUGGGAAUGCAGUCCAAAAUGGGUGGUAAAUUUCAUCUAAAGCUAAAUAUUGGCGAGAGACCGAUAGCGAACAAGUACCGUGAGGGAAAGAUGAAAAGAACUUUGAAAAGAGAGUUAAACAGUACGUGAAAUUGUCAAAAGGGAAGCGUUUGACACCAGUGUUGUUUUUCCGAAAAUCAAUUACGAAUGUUUUAUUUUUGAGGAGUUAUGACUUCAUCGGCUUGCUUCCUUUCUUUACUGAAACUUUCUUAAUGCACUUUUCGGUUAACAAGUCAACAUCAAUUUCUUUUGUUGUAAAAGGGUAUGAGGAAGGUGGCUUUCUUUUCGGAGAAAGUGUUUAUAGCCUUGUGCCUCUGCAAUCGGAGAGAUUGAGGUCUGCAGCGUAGAUCCUUCGGGGUUAGAUACAGUUUGUGCUAAGUUAUAGCUUUUCAUAGACAACUUGUUGACUAUGUUUAGUCUUGUAGCUUACUCGCUGACGCUAUUUUACCUACGCUUAGGAUGUUGACGCGCGUGUGUGCGUG